rnacentral:rRNA from 1 species
AUUGAACGCUGGCGGCAGGCUUAACACAUGCAAGUCGAGCGAGCGGCGGACGGGUGAGUAAUGUCUGGGAAACUGCCUGAUGGAGGGGGAUAACUACUGGAAACGGUAGCUAAUACCGCAUACCAUCAGAUGUGCCCACAGGGGAUUAGCUAGUGGGUGGGGGAAGGGCUCACCUAGGCGACGCUCCCUAGCUGGUCUGAGAGGAUGACCGGCCACCCUGGAACUGAGACACGGUCCAGACUCCUACGGGAGGGAGCAGUGGGGAAUAUUGGACAAUGGGCGAAAGCCUGAUGCAGCCAUGCCGCGUGUGUGAAGAAGGCCUUCGGGUUGUAAAGCACUUUCAGCGAGGAGGCGUUACUCGCAGAAGAAGCACCGGCUAACUCCGUGCCAGCCGCCGCGGUAAUAC